GGGGAUAUAGCUCAGUUGGUUGAGUUUGUGCCUCACAUGUACAAGGCCCUGGGUUCAAUUCCCAGAACCACCA
rnacentral:tRNA from 1 species